rnacentral:lncRNA from 1 species
CCUGUGGGCUGCGCAAUUUAAGACAUUUGAAAAUGCCACUGAAGAAGAUAACACCAAACAGACAUGAAAGGCAUUGGUGUGGAAGACCGUGGGUAAGAAGGACAGAGAAAUAAUAAGACUCUAGCUGAAAGUGGACUGCAGCCAAUACUGAGAUGCAUAACUCAUCAAAUUGCCAAGAAUAAGAGAUUGAGUGUUCAGCCCUAAACCUUUAUCAGCACUCUCUGGCCCCGAAGCUCAGGAAUCAUGAAAGAAGAGGAGGUAGGAAGAAUGUAAGGGCUGGAGAAUCAAGAAGGAUGCUGCCAAAUGCUGUCUUUUGGAUGUACCAUGCAUCUAUAAAUGACAUCAGCUGUACCUCAAGACCCACAAAAGAUAAAGCCUGCCAAAAUGUCUCCAUAGACCUCAUUGCAUUAGUGAGGAGCAAUUGACAGUUGAUUGCUGGUAAGGAAGGGACACUCAUUCUUUGAAGGUGUGGCCGCUGGUAGGUUUCCUAUGACCCAGUAGACAGUCCCACACCCAUGCAUGUAUUAAGUAGAUUUUAGAUAUUAAAAGAGAGAGAAAAGAAAAGGCAGGUAGGAAAGGGAAGUGUUACAAAAAC